AUUGAACGCUGGCGGCAUGCUUUACACAUGCAAGUCGAACGGUAACAGGCCGCAAGGUGCUGACGAGUGGCGAACGGGUGAGUAAUGCAUCGGAACGUGCCCAGUGGUGGGGGAUAACUCAUCGAAAGGGUAGCUAAUACCGCAUACGAUCUAUGGAGGAAAGCGGGGGACCGAAAGGCCACGCGGGGCGGGGGCGGCCGAUGUCGGAUUAGGGAGUUGGGGGGGGAAGGGCUCACCAAGGCAACGAUCUGUAGCUGGUCUGAGAGGACGACCAGCCACACUGGGACUGAGACACGGCCCAGACUCCUACGGGAGGCAGCAGUGGGGAAUUUUGGACAAUGGGCGCAAGCCUGAUCCAGCAAUGCCGCGUGCAGGAAGAAGGCCUUCGGGUUGUAAACUGCUUUUGUACGGAACGAAACGGCUCUGGUUAAUACCCGGGGCUAAUGACGGUACCGUAAGAAUAAGCACCGGCUAACUACGUG
rnacentral:rRNA from 1 species